rnacentral:rRNA from 1 species
GACGAACGCUGGCGGCGUGCUUAACACAUGCAAGUCGAACGGAGUGGCGAACGGGUGAGUAACACGUGGGUGAACCGCCUUGCACUUCGGGAUAAGCUUGGGAAACUGGGUCUAAAACCGGAUAGUGCAAGAUGAGCUCGCGGCCUAUCAGCUUGUUGGUGGGGUAAUGGCCUACCAAGGCGGCGACGGGUAGCCGGCCUGGGAGGGUGUACGGCCACAGUGGGACUGGGAUAGGGCCAAGGGUCAUACGGGAGGCAGCAGUGGGGAAUAUUGCGCAAUAGGCGGAAGGCUGAUGCAGCGACGCCGGGUGGGGGAUGAAGGCCUUCGGGUUGUAAACUCCUUUCGACAGAGACGCGGUACCUGUAUAAGAAGCACCGGCUAACUACGUGCCAGCAGCCGCGGUAAUUC